rnacentral:rRNA from 1 species
CGCACAGUAAACGAUGUGCACCAGGUGGCGGGGGGUCGACCCCCGGUACCGUAGCUAACGCAUUAAGUGCACCGCCUGGGGAGUAUGCUCGCAAGGGUGAAACUCAAAGGAAUUGACGGGGGCCCGCACAAGCGGUGGAGCAUGUGGUUUAAUUCGAUGGUACGCGAGGAACCUUACCAGGGCUUGACAUACGCCGGAAGCGCAUCGAAAGGUGCGUGCCGCUUGCGGCCGGCGUACAGGUGC